CCCUUAGAUGUUCUGGGCCGCACGCGCGCUACACUGACGGAGGCAGCGAGCGUGUCCUUCGCCGGCAGGUGCGGGCAAUCUUGCGAGUCUCCGUCGUGCUGGGGAUAGAUGGUUGCAAUUGUCGAUCUUGAACGAGGAAUUCCUAGUAAGCGCGAGUCAUCAGCUCGCACUGAUUACGUCCCUGCCCUUUGUACACACCGCCCGUCGCUACUACAGAGUGCCCGUGUCCAAGAAACGGUCGGACCUGUGCGGCCUCUCCGGGCGACCGGAGGGCCGUUACGGGGAAGACCCUUUAUUUGACGCGGGUCGAUGAAGUAAAAGUCGUAACA
rnacentral:rRNA from 1 species